rnacentral:lncRNA from 1 species
UCAUAGCCCUGUGUGGAUCACCGUUGGAGGACGAACACUUGGGCGCCUGGUGGAGGUUCUGCCGAAAUUUGAAUUAAGCACUGCAGGUAUUCUUCUAUAACUUAAAUUUAAUCUUGAAUUUAUGUUAUAUAUGAUUGUUAAUCAUCAAGGAGAUACUGGUUUAAGAGUUUAAUAUUUAAGAUUUCUUUAUUAAAAUUUUGAAAUCCAUUAUGUUU